UAGUCCACGCCGUAAACGAUGGAUACUAGGUGUCCGGGAAGUUAACCUCCUGGGUACUACAGCUAACGCGUUAAGUAUCCCGCCUGGGGAGUACGGUCGCAAGGCUAAAACUCAAAGGAAUUGACGGGGGCCCGCACAAGCGGUGGAGUAUGUGGUUUAAUUCGAAGCAACGCGCAGAACCUUACCUGGCCUUGACAUCUCGGGACAAUCAUAGAGAUAUGACUUUCUCUUCGGAGACUCGAAGACAGAUGCUGCAUGGCUGUCGUCAGCUCGUGUUGUGAAAUGUUCGGUUAAGUCCGGCAACGAGCGCAACCCCUAUCCUUAGUUACCAGCAUUAAGUUGGGGACUCUAGGGAGACUGCCGGUGUCAAACCGGAGGAAGGCGGGGAUGACGUCAAGUCCUCAUGGCUCUUACGGCCAGGGCUACACACGUACUACAAUGGUAGAAACAAACAGUUGCUAAGCCGCGAGGCCAAGCUAACCUGUAAAACACUAUCUCAGUCCGGAUUGGAGUCUGCAACUCGA
rnacentral:rRNA from 1 species